UACGUAGGGGGCAAGCGUUAUCCGGAUUUACUGGGUGUAAAGGGGGCGUAGACGGCACGGCAAGCCAGAUGUGAAAGCCCGGGGCUCAACCCCGGGACUGCAUUUGGAACUGCUGAGCUAGAGUGUCGGAGAGGCAAGUGGAAUUCCUAGUGUAGCGGUGAAAUGCGUAGAUAUUAGGAGGAACACCAGUGGCGAAGGCGGCUUGCUGGACGAUGACUGACGUUGAGGCUCGAAAGCGUGGGGAGCAAACAGG
rnacentral:rRNA from 1 species